rnacentral:misc_RNA from 1 species
UAUAGAUUCUAGAGUUCAAAUUUCAAUCAGAGCGAAUUAUACCAAAAAAAAAAUGUUCAAAAUAUAUGCUUAAUUUGUACUUGUAGAUGAAUCUUGAGUAGAUAUAGCUCUCAACUUAUUAAAAGUUUCAAGUUUGAAUCCCUUCAACUCUGCUCAUUCUAACCCAAAAAUUAAAGUUCCAAUAUGCUUCACUUUUGACAUUAAUUUUCCUCUAAAAGGGCAUAAUUAAG